ACUCUUAUCUCUCCCUCAGGCUGUGAAUUUGAAACCAUCAGGAAGAUGUCACAUUGGUAUGAUUAUUCUUCAGUGAUAAGAACAGUAAUUGUUGUAGGGAGACUUCUUAAUCUUGGGUCACUCAAAUCCCUUUUAAAGACAGCAGGUGCUCUCCAGAACAAGCAUUAACAAGAAGAGAUUAUGAGAUCUUGUACGGAAGGAAAAUGAGAUCCCUGGUGAAGCCUACAAUGUCAUUGACUCUGAAGAAGGACUCAGAGACCCAUUGGUGUUUAAUGACCCUUAUUGGCCUCCACAAAAGAAACUGGGACUUGGGAAACAUCCUGCCUCCCCCAGGCCCAGGAGCUGCUGAAGAGCAGCCUCGCCAGCGUCCACGGGCAGCAUGAACAAACCGGCUGUGCUCUUUGCAGUUGCUCCUCCUGCGGAAGAGGAACCUGUAUUGGGUUUUUUCUCUCUCUUUCUGGUCCCUGAGCUGAAGCUGCUUCAAACAGCAGUUUGUGUAUGUACUCUGCAGUUUGGGAACUACUUUUAGAGUCCUAUGUGCCUUGGAGUGGAAUGUCCCUGUUAUGCUCAGCCCCCAAAGGCAUGCCCAUUGAGAGCAAAAGAGAUGCCACCUGUGGGCCCUCCUGCCUUUCACUGACGAAUCAAGGUCAAACCCCUCUCGCGACAGUCCGUGGGGCAAGCAUGCCAUCAUCGCUGGUGCAGUGUCAGGGUGCAGAUACCAGCGCCUGACAAAUAUACCCCAAACACGGCUAGAUGACAGGGUCUGCAGAGGUCUUCUGAUCUGAAUGUGAGAGUACAUUUUAUUUCAUCCGUAUAUGCUUGGAGAAUAACACAUACAAAGUCUUCUUGAACAGCAUGUCCAAGUUAGGUUUGUCCACGGUUCCCCACCGUGGUCUUUCCAAAGUACGAAUCAAAACCAAAUGCAUAGUACUUUUGGCAAACAAUUUCUCCCACUCUUCCCUUUCUCUUUCCCCUCCCCUCCCAGCUGACACACAGCGACUAUAGGGGGCAAUGCAGCCUCAUCAUACAGCCUGUGUACAUCAGCUACAUAUCACAUUAAUAGGUGGAAACUUCAAAGUCUUAGUUUUUACUUCUUGCUUUUGAAUAAUUUGUAUCAAGAUAAAAUAUAUUGUUACGUGGGCUCCAUAAAAUGGAAGGUUUGAACUUCAAAGAAGCUUUUACUAGUUUGACUUUUUUUGUUUGUAAAUGAAAGUUAAUAAAUAGUGAUUUUAUUUCAUACUACUAAUUCAAAUUAAAAUCUAAAAUAAAACAAGACACAAGGAACGAACUAAAAUAAUUUUGAAAUUCAGUUGACAUUGAUCACUAAGCAGAACUGCUCCCAGUCUGUAUGUAUCUCAUAUUCAUGUAAUUCAAUCUAUAUGCCUGUCAAUAUUUCUGAUGCAGUUUAAUUUCUUCAGAUCAGUUUCUUUCUGACAUAAUGCAGGCUUCCAGAAGUUACUCCAAUUUAGAGUGCUUAAAUGAUACUCUUAUAUAUUCCAAGAUUUUGUGAAAAAAUAUUUAUACAUU